AUUCAAAACAAUUGUUAAAUUGCGUUGACUAUUUUGCAGGUAAAUAGGAUUGUCAUUGUGUUACUCCAAGCCGCUAGGGGGCGAUGACGUGAAAGGGGAUAACUGCCACGACAUAUAAAAAGGGCGGAAACACUCCCAGACGGUCGAUUUGCCGAAGCGGACGACUGAAGAUGCCAUGUCUUAAACGUGAGGUAACUUCCUGUGGUGGCCAUUUUGUAAACCAACAGAUGAAGUUGCAGCAGGUGACGUGACCUCCUGUGGUGGCCAUUUUGUAAACCAACAGAUGGCGUUCCAGCAGGUGACGUGACCUCCUGUGGUGGCCAUUUUGUAAACCAACAGAUGACGUUCCAGGAGGUGAUGUAACCUUCUGUGGCGGCAGUUUUGUAAACCAACAGAAGAAGUUCCAGCAGGUGAUGUAACCUUCUGUGGCGGCAAUUUUGUAAACCAACAUAUGAAGUUCCAGCAGGUCAUGUAACCUUCUGUGGCGGCAAUUUUGUAAACAAACAUAUGAAGUUCCAGCAGGUGACGUGACCUUCUGGGGCGGCCAUUUUGUAAACCAACAGAUGAAGUUCCAGCAGGUGACGUGACCUUCUAGGGUGGCCAUUUUGUAAACCAACAGAUGAGGUUCCAGCAGGUGACGUAACCUUCUUUGGCGGCCAUUUUGUAGACCAACAGGUGGAGUUCCAGGCAGUUUCCACCAGAGGUCAACUGACCAAAGAUGGUUUAAAUCUUCCUUGGACGUCUGAGCGACAUGUGUAUCAGACUGUAUCCUGAUGAUUCUCCUCCUAUCACAGGUUGACCACCAGCUCGGGACGUUGAACCAGAACCACAUUUGUUUUGUUGGCAUCACAAGACCUUGUUUCUUUGUUGAAAUGUUUAAGUUAAAUAAAAUUACCUAAACAAUUUGAUGUCCUUUAACCGUUAAUACGUAUAAGAACCCGUAUCCAAUUGGGGCAUGUAGGAAACCUUUGAGUGGUUUUCAUGUGACUAUGGCAGAUUAUGGUUUCCCUAAAAUGCUGGUGUCAGGUAAAUUGUGUAGGUGCUAGCUCAUUACCAAAAGCUAAGUUUCUGCCAUUUAAGCUAAUUUUAAUCAAUCUAAAAAUUUAAUUAGGGGUCAUAUUUAAAUUCAACCACUAACUUUAUCCUAGCAAAGAAUCCAGGAAAAACAAGCUAAAUACAUCUAUAUUGGGCUUUUAGAAAGUGUAAUGGGAUGUUUUACAAUAGCAAAAACUUCAUUUAGGAAAAAAAACUGGUACACAUGUAUUUUACAAAUGGGGUUAGCCAUGAGCAAUGUAACCAACAUGUAUUUGUAACACCACAGGUUUGAUAUCCUAAUAGGCUGCAGGCCCCAUAUUUUUUUUUUGCUUACUUCAUAGGUUAAGGUGGUGUGGCCCACUCAGCCUGGACGGCUAAUGUUAUGGACUCUUGAGAAGUGCUAAAGCAGGGGUGUCCAACUUGUUUCUAUUGAGGGCCACAUCAGUUAUGACUGCUCUUGGCAGUUUGCUUGUAACUUUGUUUUAAAUGGAUUUGUCUUAUACAGGUGAAACUUCAACAAUUUGAGUAUAAUGCAAAGGUUAGCCUAUUCCAGCAAUUUGAUUUGGAAGGUGAAACUAAAGACUAGCUCAUAAAAUGCAGCCAAGAAAUGUCAAACUUUUUGAAAUUUUGAUUAUGGCUUACAGUUUCUGAUAAUCUGUAAAUGUUUUUUCUCAAAACUGAGUUGUGAUAUCAAAAUCAUAACAGGCAUGACAUAUCUCACUUGGCAUGUAGUGAGUUUGAAUCGUAUAUUUUCUCAUUUGAAGUUUGAAAUUAUUUUUUCCGCAAUAUUUUAUUUGAGUUUCAGUGUUUCACAAUUGCCAAUGGCAACGCAAGUAUAUUUGUAGUACACAAGGCAAUUACUGCUUUACAGAAAAUUACCUCAAAAGUCAAUUCAAAUUAAAUUAAAAACCAUCGUAAAUUAAGUGGUGUUCUUCAGACCUCGCCCCCCCCAAAUUCAAGACUCAUGGGAAAAAUACAUUCUAUUUUGCCGCCACACAGUGGAAUGCACUACCAACAGACCUUCAAAUUCGAACUUCCCAACUAAAUUUAAAAACUGCCAUAAAAUCAUGGCUCAGCUCAACCUCUACCUGGUCUGAACCAAAAUUGAUCCCCAGCAACUUUCC